UACGAAGGGUGCAAGCGUUGUUCGGAAUUACUGGGCGUAAAGGGUUCGUAGGCGGGAAUGUAAGUUGAAUGUGAAAACCCCGGGCCUUAACCUGGGACGUGCAUCCAAAACUGCGUUUCUUGAGUGUCUGAGAGGGUCGUGGAAUUGCUGGUGUAGGAGUGACAUCCGUAGAGAUCAGCAGGAACACCGGAGGCGAAAGCGACGACCUGGCAGAACACUGGCGCUGAGGAACGAAAGCGUGGGGAGCAAACAGG
rnacentral:rRNA from 1 species